GCUACCCCGUGUGACUUGCCC
rnacentral:miRNA from 1 species